CAGGCCUAACACAUGCAAGUCGAACGGAGAUUUAACGCUGAUGAAGCUUCGGCAGAAUCCUAGUGGCGAACGGGUGAGUAACGCGUAGGCAACCUGCCCCCCGGAUUGGGACAACACCCCGAAAGGGGUGCUAAUACCGGAUACGAAGAUAGCACCGCAUGGUGUUAUUUUGAAAGAUGGCCUCUAUUUAUAAGCUAUCGCCGGGGGAUGGGCCUGCGUCCGAUUAGCUGGUUGGUGGGGUAACGGCCUACCAAGGCGACGAUCGGUAGCCGGUCUGAGAGGAUGAACGGCCACAUUGGGACUGAGACACGGCCCAGACUCCUACGGGAGGCAGCAGUGGGGAAUCUUCCGCAAUGGGCGAAAGCCUGACGGAGCAACGCCGCGUGGGUGAGGAAGUUCUUCGGAACGUAAAGCCCUGUUGUACAUGACGAACGUGCUUUCUAUCAACAACGGGAAGCAAUGACGGUAGUGUUCGAGGAAGCCACGGCUAACUACGUGCCAGCAGCCGCGGUAAUACGUAGGUGGCAAGCGUUGUCCGGAAUUAUUGGGCGUAAAGCGCAUGUAGGCGGUGCCUUAAGUCUGUCGUGAAACUGCGGGGCCUAACCCCGUAUGGCGAUGGAAACUGGGGCACUUGAGUGCAGGAGAGGAAAGGGGAACUCCCAGUGUAGCGGCGAAAUGCGUAGAUAUUGGGAAGAACACCGGUGGCGAAGGCGCCUUUCUGGACUGUGUCUGACGCUGAGAUGCGAAAGCCAGGGUAGCGAACGGGAUUAGAUACCCUGGUAGUCCACGCCGUAAACGAUGAGUGCUAGGUGUUGGCGAGAGAUCGUCGGUGCCGCAGCAAACGCAAUAAGCACUCCACCUGGGGAGUACGGCCGCAAGGUUGAAACUCAAAGGAAUUGACGGGGGCCCGCACAAGCGGAGGAGUAUGUGGUUUAAUUCGACGCAACGCGAAGAACCUUACCAGGGCUUGACAUCGAUUGCAAGGUGUAGAGAUACACCCCUCUCUUCGGAGACAAGAAGACAGGUGGUGCAUGGCUGUCGUCAGCUCGUGUCGUGAGAUGUUGGGUUAAGUCCCGCAACGAGCGCAACCCUUAUCUUUAGUAGCCAGCAUUUCGGAUGGGCACUCUAGAGAGACUGCCCGGGUGAACCGGGAGGAAGGUGGGGAUGACGUCAAAUCAUCAUGCCCCUUAUGAUUUGGGCUACACACGUGCUACAAUGGCGUAAACAAAGGGAAGCAAGUAGGUGACUAUGAGCAAAUCUCAAAAAUAACGUCUCAGUUCGGAUUGUAGUCUGCAACUCGACUACAUGAAGCUGGAAUCGCUAGUAAUCGCGAAUCAGAAUGUCGCGGUGAAUACGUUCCCGG
rnacentral:rRNA from 1 species